UACGUAGGGUGCGAGCGUUGUCCGGAUUUAUUGCGCGUAAAGGGCUCGUAGGCGGCGUGUCGCGUCGGGAGUGAAAGACCGGGGCUUAACCCCGGUUCUGCUUCCGGUACGGGCAUGCUGGAGUGUGGCAGGGGAGACUGGAAUUCCUGGUGUAGCGGUGGAAUGCGCAGAUAUCAGGAGGAACACCGGUGGCGAAGGCGGGUCUCUGGGCCAUUACUGACGCUGAGGAGCGAAAGCGUGGGGAGCGAACAGG
rnacentral:rRNA from 1 species